UACGUAGGGUGCAAGCGUUAAUCGGAAUUACUGGGCGUAAAGCGUGCGCAGGCGGUUUUGUAAGUCAGAUGUGAAAUCCCCGGGCUUAGCCUGGGAACUGCGUUUGAAACUACAAGGCUAGAGUGUGGCAGAGGGGGGUGGAAUUCCACGUGUAGCAGUGAAAUGCGUAGAUAUCUGGAGGAACACCGAUGGCGAAGGCAGCCCCCUGGGCUAACACUGACGCUGAUGCACGAAAGCGUGGGGAGCAAACAGG
rnacentral:rRNA from 1 species